UUCCCCUAGUAACUGCGAGUGAAGCGGGAAAAGCUCAAAUUUAAAAUCUGGCAGUUUCACUGUCCGAGUUGUAAUCUAGAGAAGUGUUAUCCGCGCUGGACCGUGUACAAGUCUCCUGGAAUGGAGCGUCAUAGAGGGUGAGAAUCCCGUCUUUGACACGGACUGCCAGGGCUUUGUGAUGCGCUCUCAAAGAGUCGAGUUGUUUGGGAAUGCAGCUCAAAAUGGGUGGUAAAUUCCAUCUAAAGCUAAAUAUUGGCGAGAGACCGAUAGCGAACAAGUACCGUGAGGGAAAGAUGAAAAGAACUUUGGAAAGAGAGUUAAACAGUACGUGAAAUUGCUGAAAGGGAAACGCUUGAAGUCAGUCGCGUUGGCCGGGAAUCAACCUUGCUUUUGCUGGGCGUAUUUUCUAGUCGACGGGUCAACAUCAGUUUUGACCGUUGGAUAAAGGCAUGGGGAAUGUGGCAUCUUCGGAUGUGUUAUAGCCCUGUGUCGCAUACAACGGUUGGGACUGAGGAACUCAGCGCGCCGCAAGGCCGGGUCUUUGACCACGUUCGCGCUUAGGAUGUUGGCAUAAUGGCUUUAAUCGACCCGUCUUGAAACACGGACCAAGGAGUCUAACAUGCCUGCGAGUGUUUGGGUGGAAAACCCGAGCGCGUAAUGAAAGUGAAAGUUGAGAUCCCUGUCGUGGGGAGCAUCGACGCCCGGACCAGACCUUCUGUGACGGAUCCGCGGUAGAGCAUGUAUGUUGGGACCCGAAAGAUGGUGAACUAUGCCUGAAUAGGGUGAAGCCAGAGGAAACUCUGGUGGAGGCUCGUAGCGA
rnacentral:rRNA from 1 species